rnacentral:lncRNA from 1 species
UAAACCUGCCGCUGAAGGGGGUUUUGAUUAUAAUAAAUAAUUAUUGUGCAAAAUCUGUCAUAAUUGGAAUGCAUAGUAUCGGGAUAUUCUUUUAAAAUAGUAUUUAGCAAAUGAUCCAGUACUCAUGGGGUUUCGUAUAUUAACAGUUUUACCAGCCGCGUUUGCAGUAUAUAGUAUGGUGACAUGCUUACCUAGCAACGAAUGGCAUUUCAAAGGACAAAAUGUGGCAUUGGGAAAAACAGCAUCUCAAAAACCUGCUACAUUCAUGGAAUAUUCGUCUUUUAUUAGGUAUCCUGCGAGUCUAGCUGUUGAUGGAAAUGAUGACAAC